CUGCCAGUCAAGUCCAGGUGCUGUGCAUUAUGCUAUGCAGCUGUCUAAUUACUGGCGAGAUAAUAGCCACAGUACGAGCCCCAUCAUCUAGCUGUGAUUUCUGGGGUCCCUAUAAAUGGCGACAUGC
ensembl:snoRNA